rnacentral:snRNA from 1 species
GGAUGUUUCUGUAAAAAGUUUAAUAUUCUCACUUUCUAGAUACACAGAGUAUGACAAAAAGUUCCUCCCUCACUGCUCCAUGUGUGUCCCUGCCAAGGUUGUCCACUCGGUCGAAGAGGACGACCUUCCCUGAUAGAGGCAUACCGUUCAUUGGUCCAAGGGUAUACGGUAGCUGCACUCCCCUGCUAGAACCUCCAAACCAGGACAAUGUAUUGAAGACUUCUCUAUCAUGCCUCUGAGACAGCAAAAACUAGAUUUUUUCUAAAUGCAAAAGCUCUAUUCUUU